rnacentral:rRNA from 1 species
AUUGAACGCUGGCGGCAGGCUUAACACAUGCAAGUCGAGCGGUAGCACAGGGGAGCUUGCUCCCUGGGUGACGAGCGGCGGACGGGUGAGUAAUGUCUGGGAAACUGCCUGAUGGAGGGGGAUAACUACUGGAAACGGUAGCUAAUACCGCAUAACGUCGCAAGACCAAAGAGGGGGACCUUCGGGCCUCUUACCAUCAGAUGUGCCCAGAUGGGAUUAGCUAGUAGGUGGGGUAAUGGCUCACCUAGGCGACGAUCCCUAGCUGGUCUGAGAGGAUGACCAGCCACACUGGAACUGAGACACGGUCCAGACUCCUACGGGAGGCAGCAGUGGGGAAUAUUGCACAAUGGGCGCAAGCCUGAUGCAGCCAUGCCGCGUGUGUGAAGAAGGCCUUCGGGUUGUAAAGCACUUUCAGCGAGGAGGAAGGUGGUGAACUUAAUACGUUCAUCAAUUGACGUUACUCGCAGAAGAAGCACCGGCUAACUCCGUG